UGGGGCAGCUGGGCGUGCUGAGGGGAGUCUGGCCCCUGCCGUGGGGGAAAGAGUUAUUUGGGGGAGCUCAGGCUCAGCCUCACAUGGUCUCUUCCCCAGCUAAGGCAACUACAAGGCCUUUCACUUGCCCUCUACAGGCAGGGCCAACAGUGGGAUCGGCACUUCCAGGGUGAUAGUAUUUAGCCCUAUUUUCCUCCUGCAUUUAGUACCAUAAGUCGUCUUUUUUUUUUUUUUUUUUUUUUCCGUCAGACAGCAGAGCGCUGGUAAACACCAUGCAGAAAAGCCGUAUUGUGGGGUUACAAAGUCUGGGCUGUUUAAGGAGCUCUGUCAUUCCUUUUAAUGGAGCUCACUGACGCAGAUCUGGGUUCUGCCAGCCGAGGAAAUAUUGCUGCUGAGAAAAGGGUUAUUGAAACCCACAAACUAAAUAUUAUGAACAAGAAUCAAAUGGCAGGACAUUCUGGAGUGUAAUCCCUCCUGAUUUCAGGAGAAGGGGAACGUAUUGGUAAGUGGCUGUGGGUGACAGAAUCCCUGAACUCGGUGGGUGAAACACACUUGGGAAGGUGAUGUUUUCAGAGAUUAUCAACCCUUACUCUCUGGAGUCUCACACCUGGACAAGUUGACUCUUGCAUGGAAGCAAGAAUCCCCUUUUUUUCUGGACAGAUUUGUACAAACUUGCUAGAUAGACUUAAGGAGCCAGGAUUGGAAUGCUAAGAAUUUUCUCUCUCUUAAAAAAAAAAAAAAAAAAAAAGAAAGAAAGAAUUAAAAAGGCAACACUUCCCAGUUUUAAAACAAUGAUAAAAGUAUUAAAUAGGAUGGAAAACUCUAAAUCAACUUCAGCCUACAGCUGUUUAAAAGUGUUUGCUUUGACCUUUGGUGAUAGUGUCAAUUCCGCUGCAGAAAAUAUAUUGUAAACUAUAUAAUGUAUUUAAUUGCAAAAUGUCUUUUAAAUGGUCUCCUUUCUUCAGGCUAGAGAACUGGCUGUGGCCAGGGAAACAAGGCUGGACUGUGCCCUUCUAUGAUUUCUGAGAUUGUAACUGAGAUGAAAAUUUAAAAAAACCGCUUGCCCCAGUGGCAUCUUUAACCACAAGCAAAAUAAACAAACAAAACAGCAACAAAGGGAAGGAGAAAUGGUUCCCUAAGCUAAACCAGGGAAGGCAAGCUCUGAUCUCACGAAGAGCAGAGGCCUCGCAGCUCCAGAGACUCAGCUCACUACUUUAUUUAUCCCAACGCUUUAUUGUAAGGACACUUCAGUCUAUUUGUCUUCUAACAUCAGAAAAAGGGGACUUAAACACAUAGCAAAGGCUCCACUACAGUAAGACUCCCCCACACACACUGCCAAAAAAAGAGCUUCCAUUAUUGAGCAACAUAUAAAGUGUUAUUUCCAUACUAGUCUGGGUGACAUUUCCAUUUAGUUUCUAUAACUGUGAUUAAAGGCAAGAGAGGUUUCUAAACAUAUCUAGAGAUGCUGAGCCUCACAGUGUAUAAAUAGCAUGCAUUUCAUAAUCUCGUGUUUAAACGUUUAUUUUAAAAUAACCCCCAUAUACAUUCCAGAGAGUCUCCCUGCUAUAGGACAUAGUGCAACCCAGGCUUUGCAUAUCAUUUGCAAACUAGGUGGAAUACUAUUGGAAUACUAUUGAAGGCUGAUUCAGUCUUUAUUUUUCCUGUUUUCUUAAAAAAAAAAAAAAAAAAAGCAAUAUGUAGGGAGGCCUGUGCCAAUACACCACUUAGAAAUAAGGACAUUUUUGAGACACAUCUAGGCUCUCAGCACAAAUCCAGAAACAUAAAGUAACUUAAUUGCCUUUGCUUGGAACUUGUGGCUGACAUUUCUAAUUUCAUCCCUUACCCUCCCCUGCCAGUUGUAGGUUCUCCAACUACUGAACUAUUGAAGUUGUGAGAAAGUUGUCAAAUCGUGCUUUCCCCCACACUAUCCAUGCAUCAGUAACAUCACUUCAUGUGCAGAUUUGUGUGUUUCUACUGUAAGCUUGCCAGUAGGUUUGUCUCUUGGGCCACUGGAGAAGUUAAAUUGUGUGUAUUAUGUCCUAAGUCUUGUUUGAGAUAACAUCGAGGCUGAAGAGUGGAAAAGACAUGGUAAACAAUAAACAAAAUAGACUGGACGGGAAUAGAAGGAAAGGUAAGGCUGAGCCUAGUUGCAUCUUUUUUUAUAUUCUCAGUCCAACUGGAUGUUUAGGUUGCAGGGAUUGUUGAGAAGCAAUGACAGGAUUAAACCUUAGGCUUUGCCAAGGUAACAAGAAUAUAGAAGUUUGAUAAAACUAAAUUCUGAGCUGUUUUCAGCAGUCUCUGUGAAUGUGGCCUUUUAGUUAGUGUGAGCAAAGAUUUAAUAUAAAUAAAUCAUGUGGAAAAAAGAUCUCUGUUUUCUUCCACAAGCAUUACAAAGAAUGGGGAAAAGAAGGGAUUGGGACAGAUUGGAGAUUUUGAUUAUUGGGCGUUAGAAAAAAACCAAACACUGAAUGGAGCUUGCCUAGUUCCUUUUUCUUUGGCAAGUGAGGCAGCAUCAAAGAGUAUGCAGGGCUGCCUCACACCAGCAUGCCAAAAGCCAGGGACCUCCAAUGGCAAAGACCAGCUCAAUGUGGCAUGGAUAAAUUAGCCAGAAAUACAUGAAUUAGGGAAUUGUCCCUUCAUUACACUCCAAUUUAAUCCACUGGAAAGCGGACUGAGGAAAGAGAAGCUUAUGUGUCAAAAUCAUUACCUGAUUUGGGAUGGCCUGGGAAUGAAAUUUCGUUCCCCUUCCUCUGGGCUCUCAAGUGUUCCUACGUGACAAAUGCACUGGGGCAGGUUAAUUGGAAGCUGGAGUGCAGAGGAAGAGUCUAGUUGGCAAAGCACUCCUGAAGCUGGAGGUGUCUCAGCCCUUCCCUGGGAGUAAUUUCUGUGGCUUUUAGUGUGUUCAACACUAAGCCAGCCCCAGCUGAAGAUUGUGCCUUCCAGCCUUGGACAGAAAAGGUGCUGGGGAGGGGGAAGAGAAGAAAAAGCCAAACAAAACAAGCUAGGGCAAAACACGCGUGCUUUAACCUGUGUGCAUAAAUGUGAAGUCAGUGCUGGAGAGCCAGCCCUGGAGAUCCUGUUUUGCUUUCUAAUUUUUGGUGUGUACUUAAUCCCGUGAUUUCCAAUGAAGGGAGGGAUAUUUAAAACACUGGGCUUUCCAAGUAGGACAGCCCUAGAAAGGAAGUUCUCUGAGGGCUUGAUGCCUGUUACUAAGAGGCUCAAAAUACAACUAUCAGUUAAUCAAGUAAAUAGCACUUCCCAGCCUCUGACAGCUAGGCAGCUAAUUGACUGAGGCUAUUAAUAAAGGAGAGAAAUUUACCCAGAAGAAAGUGAGAACUGGGGAUGGAGGUACAGAAACCUGGAUAAAAUCCAUACUGGAGUUAAAUGUGUCCUGGGAGAAAGGGGUAGUGCUCGUGCACGGAUUCUGUGGGUUAGAGAUUUACUCCAUUCCUGCAUCCCCCCACUCUCCCCGAAGCACAUGGUGCUGUGAUCCAUAGGGCAGUGCACUGCUUUCUAACUUUGUACCCCUUCCCCAUUUGCAGGCAUGGAAUGAAGCUCCCUCCAGUCACCUGCUGCAAGACACAUUAUCCAGCUUCCUAACCUUAAGGAUGAGACCCUAUCAAUAUUGCCUCUGCUUUUGUGAUCAGGGUAGUAGUGCAAUAUUGCUUAUAGGGUCUUUUCUUUUGAGGGUUAUUCUUCAUGGAGAGAAGAAAGCCACAGCAGGAAAAAAUAACCCCAUAUGCCCACCGAGUUAAGGGAAAAGUUGUGAAAUGCUGAGUGUUGUUAGAUAGGCGAAUAAUUGUACAGAGAUGUUAUUUGUGACAAAUAAUCGUGCUAUUCUGGUGACUCAGGUUGUGAGUAAUGGGCAUAUUUUUGAUGCUAUCUAUCACACGGGAUUCAAAACGGCUUCAUGUUUAAAACACAAGCAGUGAUUGAAACCAGAGAAACCCAUCAUGGUUCCUUUCUAAAAUAGUAUGAGUUCUGAGACGUUUGAAGGGUGUCUAUAUUACAUACUGAUGUAAACACCCACCAAAGGAUGGGAGGAGAUACAUAGCCAUACUUGCUGCUUCUGUGCCUGAUCCCAGCCGGAAAACCAGUGUGGUGCAAAGCAGAGCACAGCACAAAGAGGCCGAGACUCUAAUCCCCAUAACCUCGGCGAAACAAAGCUCAUGCCUCUGCCCGGCGAGUGCAGCCCGCCGGGCUCCGCGACCGUGCCCCGCACCCGGGGCUAUUCCAGGGUCGGGCGGCGCAGCGGGGCCGGGCGCUGCCUCCGGCCCUUCCCGAGAGCUGCUCUCUGAGCCCGGCAGCCGCCGCAGCUGCUGUGCCAGCGCUGGGACCACCGGCCGGGCUGCCCCUCUUUCCCUGUUGCACUACUGUCACGGUCGCAGCGAGCAGUGCAAUAAUGAAAGGGCGUCAGUGCGCCGGGGAGCGGCGAGAGCCGGGGACGAGCCGGUGACAGCGCGCGGGGACGGGGACGUCCCGCCGCACCCGAGAGCCACCUUAACGGGGCGGAGGGGAUACACACGACACUGACGGACGGACUUUGGUUGUGCAACUUUCUUUGUUUAAACACGCAGCGGCUGCGAGCGUGCGCGCAGGGGCAGGACAAGGUGAGCGGCUCCGCGCACCGCUUGCCCCGGCCCGCCGCCUCUCCCCGCCCCGCCGGCCCCGGCCGCGGGCCCUGGGGCAGCCCCUCUGCUGUACCCGGCCAACACCAAAUAAAUAAAAGUGACCCCCGA